rnacentral:rRNA from 1 species
GAUGAACGCUGGCGGCGUGCCUAAUACAUGCAAGUCGUACGAAGGAGCUUGCUCCUUAGUGGCGAACGGGUGAGUAAUACAAAAAUAAUCUGCCCCAACGACUGGGAUAACUAUUGGAAACGAUAGCUAAUACCGGAUAGGUGAUCGGAAGACAUCUUCUGAUCAUUAAAGGUGCGUUCGCACCACGAUGGGAUGAGUUUAUGGCGCAUUAGUUAGUUGGCGGGGUAACGGCCCACCAAGACGAUGAUGCGUAGCCGAUCUGAGAGGAUGACCGGCCACACUGGGACUGAGACACGGCCCAGACUCCUACGGGAGGCAGCAGUAGGGAAUAUUGGACAAUGGGCGCAAGCCUGAUCCAGCAAUACCGCGUGUGUGAAGAAGGCCCUAGGGUUGUAAAGCACUUUCAAUAGGGAGGAAAACCUGCCGGUCAAUACCCGGUAGCUUGACAUUACCUAUAGAAGAAGCACCGGCUAACUCCGUGCCAGCAGCCGCAGUAAAAC